rnacentral:lncRNA from 1 species
AUGGCCAAAAGCAGCUCCCUGAACGUCCGCGUCGUGGAGGGCCGGGCGCUGCCCGCCAAGGAUGUGUCGGGGAGCAGUGACCCCUACUGCAUAGUGAAAGUGGACGACGAAGUCGUGGCCAGGACAGCAACCAUCUGGCGGAGCCUGAGCCCCUUCUGGGGGGAGGAAUACACCGUGCACUUGCCCCUGGAUUUCCACCAUCUGUCCUUCUACGUGCUGGACGAGGACACGGUGGGGCACGAUGACAUCAUAGGCAAGAUCUCGCUGAGCAGGGAGGCCAUUACAGCGGACCCCCGAGGAAUCGACAGCUGGAUCAACCUGAGCCGUGUGGACCCAGACGCGGAGGUGCAGGGUGAGGUCUGCCUGGCUGUGCAGACACUGGAGGACGUGCGGGGCCGUUGUCUUCACUGUCACGUGCUCCAGGCUAGGGACCUGGCCCCCCGAGACAUCUCGGGCACGUCUGACCCAUUUGCACGUGUGUUUUGGGGCAGCCAGAGCUUGGAGACUUCGACCAUCAAGAAGACUCGCUUCCCAUACUGGGAUGAGGUGCUGGAGCUGUGGGAGAUGCCAGGUUCCCCAUCCCCUCUGCGAGUGGAACUCUGGGACUGGGACAUGGUUGGCAAGAAUGACUUCUUGGGAAUGGUGGAGUUCCCCCCACAGGUCCUGCAACACAACCCGCCCAAUGGCUGGUUCCGCCUCCUGCCCUUUCCCAGAGCAGAGGAGGAUUCUGGCGGGAGCUUGGGUGCUCUGAGGCUGAAGGUGCGCCUGACCGAGGACUCUGUCCUGCCCUCACAGUACUACCAGCCGCUCAGGGAGCUGCUCAUGGAGUCGGUGCUGGGGCCAGCAGAGGAAGAUGCUGCCAGCCCCUUGGCUGUCCUGGAGGAGCUGACCUCGGGGGACUGCCGCCAGGAGCUGGCCACCAAGUUGGUGAAGCUCUUUCUGGGCCAGGGCCUGACUGGGCCCUUUCUGGACUAUCUCACCCGGCGUGAGGUGGCACGGACCACUGACCCCAACACCCUCUUCCGUUCUAACUCCCUGGCGUCCAAGUCAAUGGAGCAGUUUAUGAAGCUCGUGGGCAUGCCCUACCUGCAUGAGGUCCUAAGGCCGGUGAUCAACCGCGUCUUCGAGGAGAGGAAGUACAUGGAGCUGGAUCCCUGCAAGAUGGACCUGGGCCGCACCCGGAGAAUCUCCUUCAAGGGUGCACCCUCCGAGGAACAUGUGCGGGAGGCCAGCCUGGGGCUGCUGACGGGCUACCUGGGGCCUAUCGUGGACGCCAUUGUGGGCUCCGUGGGGCGCUGUCCACCCGCCAUGCGCCUCGCCUUCAAGCAGCUACGCCAGCGCGUGGAGGAGCGUUUUCCUCAGGCAGAGCAUGAGGAUGUGAAGUACCUGGCCAUAAGCGGCUUUCUCUUCCUGCGAUUCUUCGCACCUGCCAUCCUCACCCCGAAGUUGUUUGACCUCCGGGACCAGCACGCGGAUCCCCAGACCAGCCGCUCACUGCUGCUGCUUGCCAAGGCUGUGCAGAGCAUUGGAAAUCUGGGCCAGCAGCUGGGCCAGGGCAAGGAGCUGUGGAUGGCCCCCCUACACCCCUUCCUGCUGCAGAGUAUUUCCAGGGUGAGAGACUUCCUGGACCAGCUGGUGGACGUGGAUGGGAAGGAGGAGGCUGGGGGCCCAGCCAGGGCCCUGGUCCCGCCCUCAGUGACUGUCCGAGAAGGCUACCUGCUCAAGCGCAAGGAGGAGCCUGCCGGCCUGGCCACACGCUUUGCCUUCAAGAAGCGCUACUUCCGGCUCAGCGGGGAGACGCUGUCCUACUCCAAGAGUCCUGAGUGGCAGAUGCGCUCCUCCAUCCCCGUGUCGCACAUCCGAGCUGUGGAGCGCGUUGACGAGAGCGCCUUCCAGCUGCCCUACGUGAUGCAGGUGGUGACGCAGGACGGCGCGGGGGCGCCGCACACCACCUACCUCCAGUGCAAGAACGUGAACGAGCUCAACCAAUGGCUGUCGGCCCUGCGCAAGGCCAGCGCCCCCAACCCGGACAAGCUGGCCUCCUGCCACCCCGGUGCCUUCCGCAGCGGGCACUGGACCUGCUGCCUCCAGGCCGAGCGCUCAGCUUCCGGUUGCAGCCGCACGCACUCAGCCGUCACCCUGGGGGACUGGAGUGACCCCCUGGAUCCUGAUGCUGAGACCCAGAUGGUGUAUCGGCAGCUGCUUCUGGGGCGGGAUCGGCUCAGGAUGAAAUUCCUCGAGGAUUCCAGCAUGGAUACAACUCUGGAGGCAGCCACAGAGCAGGGCUCCAGUGCCAUGGAAGGGGCCUGUACUGAUGCCCUGGCUCGGCAGAGGGAGGCAGCUGCCCGCCUGCUGGAGGUGCUCACAGACCUGGAUCAAGCCCACGAGGAGUUCCAGCAGCAGGAGCAGGGGAAGGUGGUUUCGGGCCCCCUGAGGCCCUAA